rnacentral:rRNA from 1 species
AACGUAGGGUCCAAGCGUUAAUCGGAAUUACUGGGCGUAAAGCGUGCGCAGGCGGUUGUGCAAGACCGAUGUGAAAUCCCCGAGCUUAACUUGGGAAUUGCAUUGGUGACUGCACGGCUAGAGUGUGUCAGAGGGGGGUAGAAUUCCACGUGUAGCAGUGAAAUGCGUAGAGAUGUGGAGGAAUACCGAUGGCGAAGGCAGCCCCCUGGGAUAACACUGACGCUCAUGCACGAAAGCGUGGGGAGCAAACAGG